UGAUUUCUUCUUAGUGUCAACAAGUGAUAACUCCAAACUCACGUCCGAGUGGAUCCUAGAUUCGGGAUGUUCUUUCCACAUGUGUCCUAAUAGAGAAUGGUUCUCCACAUACAGUUCGGAUGAAGGUAGAGUUUGUACGCAUAGGAAACGAUUCAUUUAGUAAGGUAAUUGGUAUUGGUAUUGUUAAAAUUAAGAUACAUGAUAGAACGAUUAGGACACUCUAAGAUGUCAG
rnacentral:lncRNA from 1 species